rnacentral:lncRNA from 1 species
AGCAUUUCUCCUUCCCCAAGAUAAUCCAUCCACCUGACAGGUGUGGCAUAUCAAGAAGCUGAUUAACAGCAUGAUCAUUACAAAGGUCUCUCUAAAAUGUGUAGUUUUGUCAUAUAAAAACCUCAGACCACUUGUAUGGCAUCAUGUGGGUGAGAGGUUUGCUGAUGUCAACAUUGUGAACAGCCCCAUGGUGGAGGUGAGGUUAUGGUUCAACAUUGUGAACAGCCCCAUGGUGGUGGUGGGGUUAUGGUUCAACAUUGUGAACAGCCCCAUGGUGGAGGUGAGGUUAUGGUAUGGACAUUGUGAACAGCCCCAUGGUGGAGGUGAGGUUAUGGUUCAACAUUGUGAACAGCCCCAUGGUGGUGGUGAGGUUAUGGUAUGGACAUUGUGAACAGCCCCAUGGUGGAGGUGAGGUUAUGGUUCAACAUUGUGAACAGCCCCAUGGUGGUGGUGAGGUUAUGGUUCAACAUUGUGAACAGCCCCAUGGUGGAGGUGGUGUUAUGGUUCAAUAUUGUGAACAGCCCCAUGGUGGUGGUGAGGUUAUGGUAUGGGCAGGCAUAAGCCACAGACCAUGAACUCAAGUGCAUUUUAUCGAUGGAAAUCUGAAUGCACAGAGAUACCGUGAUGAGAUCCCAUUGUCAUGCCAUUCAUCCUCACCCAUCACCUCAUGUUUCAGCAUGAUAAUGCACGGCCUGAUGUCGCAAGGAUCUGAACACAAUUCCUGGAAGCUGAAAAAAAAACUGUUCUUCCAUGGCCUGAGUACUCACCAGACAUGUCACCCAUUGAGCAUGUUUGGGAUGCUCUGGAUAUACGUGUACGAUAGCGUGAGAUUCGUAUCUGUAUUCCCAGUCAUGUGAAAUCUGUAGAUUAGGAUCUAAUUAAUGUAUUUCAACUGACUUAUUUCCUUAUAUGAACUGUAACUGUAACUCACUUGCAUUUUGGGUUUAUAUUUUUGUUCAGUAUAAUAAAAAGAUCAGUUGUAAAUGUUUUAUGUUUGAUAUGAUGUUAGUAACACUAAGUCAUUCCAUCCUUUCACUAAAUGGUAGUAACACUAAGUCAUUCCAUCCUUUCACUAAAGCUCUAAAGUAACUUUUAAUUGACAGAUGCCUCAUUUAUAUGUUGUGGAUGUUGAUGAAAGGAAAUCCCAUAUAGGCUACUGACCAGGACUUUGUUAUGGCAUCUUCUGUUUGGGAGUCUCAGGUCAGGUCAGAGCCAUGAUCAGAAUGUGUCUCUGUCUAUUUCCAGCC